rnacentral:rRNA from 1 species
AGUGAACGCUGGCGGUAGGCCUAACACAUGCAAGUCGAACGGCAGCACAGUAAGAGCUUGCUCUUACGGGUGGCGAGUGGCGGACGGGUGAGGAAUACAUCGGAAUCUACUUUUUCGUGGGGGAUAACGUAGGGAAACUUACGCUAAUACCGCAUACGACCUACGGGUGAAAGCAGGGGAUCUUCGGACCUUGCGCGAUUGAAUGAGCCGAUGUCGGAUUAGCUAGUUGGCGGGGUAAAGGCCCACCAAGGCGACGAUCCGUAGCUGGUCUGAGAGGAUGAUCAGCCACACUGGAACUGAGACACGGUCCAGACUCCUACGGUAGGCAGCAGUGGGGAAUAUUGGACAAUGGGCGCGAGCCUGAUCCAGCCAUACCGCGUGGGUGAAGAAGGCCUUCGGGUUGUAAAGCCCUUUUGUUGGUAAAGAAAAGCAGCAGGUUAAUACCCCGCUGUUCUGACGGUACCCAAAGAAUAAGCACCGGCUAACUUCGUG